rnacentral:rRNA from 1 species
AUACCGUGAAACUGCGAAUGGCUCAUUAAAUCAGUUAUCGUUUAUUUGAUAGUACCUUACUACUUGGAUAACCGUGGUAAUUCUAGAGCUAAUACAUGCUAAAAACCCCAACUUCGGGAGGGGUGUAUUUAUUAGAUAAAAAACCAAUGCCCUUCGGGGCUCCUUGGUGAUUCAUGAUAACUUCUCAGAUCGCAUAGCCUUGAGCUGGCGACGGUUCAUUCAAAUUUCUGCCCUAUCAACUUUCGAUGGUAAGGUAGUGGCUUACCAUGGUUGCAACGGGUAACGGGGAAUUAGGGUUCGAUUCCGGAGAGGGAGCCUGAGAAACGGCUACCACAUCCAAGGAAGGCAGCAGGCGCGCAAAUUACCCAAUUCCGAUACGGAGAGGUAGUGACAAUAAAUACUGAUACAGGGCUCUUUUGGGUCUUGUAAUUGGAAUGAGUACAAUUUAAACCUCUUAACGAGGAACAAUUGGAGGGCAAGUCUGGUGCCAGCAGCCGCGGUAAUUCCAGCUCCAAUAGCGUAUAUUAAAGUUGUUGCAGUUAAAAAGCUCGUAGUUGAACCUUUGGCCUGGCUGGCAGGUCCGCCUCACCGCGUGCACUUGUCCGGCCGGGCCUUUUCUUCUGGAGAACCGCAUGCCCUUCACUGGGUGUGUUGGGGACCAGGACUUUUACUUUGAAAAAAUUAGAGUGUUCAAAGCAGGCCUUUGCUCGAAUACGUUAGCAUGGAAUAAUAGAAUAGGACGUGCGGUCCUAUUUUGUUGGUUUCUAGGACCGCCGUAAUGAUUAAUAGGGACAGUCGGGGGCAUCAGUAUUCAAUUGUCAGAGGUGAAAUU